UCGAACCUGGGUCAUUUCAGUCCGACGCUCUAGCCACUGAACCAAACCGGUUUUGGCCCUAUUGCCUUCUUUGUUUUUUGUUAAGAUUGCUUGGUACUCUUCAUUAUAUCUUUUCCCUACCUCAUUCUGUCUUGAAAUUUAUGUGUACCAUGGUUCUGCCAGUUUGUGGUGUUUCUCCAGACUGGGUGUUGCUUUAGUACCUGGGAGAUAAUUUGUAUUGGAAGUCCAAGAAAAACAUAGACAUUUGUUACUUUAAACCCAAUGGUUUUAAUGGUGCAAUUCCUUUUUUUCUUUCUCUGCUAAGAAUUUUGCAGUUUUCUCCAAAGGGAGUGAGAGGGGAAGGUGGGAAUUUAGAUUUAAUGUUGAAGUAUGGGUUGAUAAAAGAGGUGCAUCUUGUAUCAUCUUUUAGAAAAUCUGGUUUUGUCACAUACACAAAAGUUUCAUGUGCGGUGAGCUUACUUUGUCACAGAGUAUAUGCUUAGCUCUUGAUGUGGUUGUUUCGACAACACAGAAUAAUACAUUGUUGCAUUCUAGGAUAGAAACCAUGGAAGUCCAAGAACCUUCUGCUGUACAGUCCACAGAUUCUUAAAAUGACAGCCUAUCAAAGACAGUAUUUAGAGCCAGAAAGGAGCCUGAUUGUAUUGUUGGGCUAUCUCUCAGACACCAUAAGAGGCCUGCUAUUAGUUGUUCCCAGCAAUAGCAUUCUUGGUAAAUUAUUGUCUCUGUGUCAGUGCUUCUAUUGUCAGCUCACUGCUGCUUAUAAAUUUCCAUGGGCCCUAGCUGGUUUGGCUCAGUAGAAGGAGUGUCCACCCUUGGACUAAAAGGUCCCAGGUUCAAUUCUGGUCAAGGGCACAUAACCUCAGUUGCAGAGGCAACCAGUUGUUAUAUCUUUCUCAUAUUGAUUCUUCUCUCUCUCUCUGUCUCUCCCCCACUCCCUUUUACUAUCUCUAAAAAUCAAUGGAAAAAUAUCCUUUGGAGAGGAUUCACACAAAAAGAAAAAC